rnacentral:rRNA from 1 species
UACGAAGGGUGCAAGCGUUACUCGGAAUUACUGGGCGUAAAGCGUGCGUAGGUGGUUCGUUAAGUCUGUCGUGAAAGCCCCGGGCUCAACCUGGGAAUGGCGAUGGAUACUGGCGGGCUAGAGUGCGGGAGAGGGUGGUGGAAUUCCCGGUGUAGCAGUGAAAUGCGUAGAGAUCGGGAGGAACAUCAGUUGCGAAGGCGGCCACCUGGACCAGCACUGACACUGAGGCACGAAAGCGUGGGGAGCAAACAGG